UACGGGGGGGGCAAGCGUUGUUCGGAAUUACUGGGCGUAAAGCGUGCGCAGGCGGGCUUUUAAGCCAGACGUGAAAUCCCCGGGCUUAACCUGGGAAUGGCGUUUGGGACUGGGAGUCUGGAGUGCGGCAGAGGAGACUGGAAUUCCUGGUGUAGCAGUGAAAUGCGUAGAUAUCAGGAGGAACACCGAUGGCGAAGGCAGGUCUCUGGGCUGACACUGACGCUCAUGCACGAAAGCGUGGGGAGCAAACAGG
rnacentral:rRNA from 1 species